GAUAACGGCGUCGAGCGGCGGACGGGUGAGUAAUGCCUAGGAAAUUGCCCUGRUGUGGGGGAUAACCAUUGGAAACGAUGGCUAAUACCGCAUAAUACCUWCGGGUCAAAGAGGGGGACCUUCGGGCCUCUCGCGUCAGGAUAUGCCUAGGUGGGAUUAGCUAGUUGGUGAGGUAAUGGCUCACCAAGGCGACGAUCCCUAGCUGGUCUGAGAGGAUGAUCAGCCACACUGGAACUGAGACACGGUCCAGACUCCUACGGGAGGCAGCAGUGGGGAAUAUUGCACAAUGGGCGCAAGCCUGAUGCAGCCAUGCCGCGUGUGUGAAGAAGGCCUUCGGGUUGUAAAGCACUUUCAGUCGUGAGGAAGGUAGUGUAGUUAAUAGCUGCAUUAUUUGACGUUAGCGACAGAAGAAGCACCGGCUAACUCCGUGCCAGCAGCCGCGGUAAUACGGAGGGUGCGAGCGUUAAUCGGAAUUACUGGGCGUAAAGCGCAUGCAGGUGGUUUGUUAAGUCAGAUGUGAAAGCCCGGGGCUCAACCUCGGAAUAGCAUUUGAAACUGGCAGACUAGAGUACUGUAGAGGGGGGUAGAAUUUCAGGUGUAGCGGUGAAAUGCGUAGAGAUCUGAAGGAAUACCGGUGGCGAAGGCGGCCCCCUGGACAGAUACUGACACUCAGAUGCGAAAGCGUGGGGAGCAAACAGGAUUAGAUACCCUGGUAGUCCACGCCGUAAACGAUGUCUACUUGGAGGUUGUGGCCUUGAGCCGUGGCUUUCGGAGCUAACGCGUUAAGUAGACCGCCUGGGGAGUACGGUCGCAAGAUUAAAACUCAAAUGAAUUGACGGGGCCCGCACAAGCGUGGAGCAUGUGGUUUAAUUCGAUGCAACGCGAGACCUUACU
rnacentral:rRNA from 1 species